UACAGAGGGGGCAAGCGUUGUUCGGAAUUAUUGGGCGUAAAGGGUGCGUAGGCGGUGCGGUAAGUCUUCUGUGAAAUCUCCGGGCUCAACUCGGAGCCUGCAGGGGAAACUGCCGUGCUUGAGUAUGGGAGAGGUGAGUGGAAUUCCUGGUGUAGCGGUGAAAUGCGUAGAUAUCAGGAGGAACACCUGUGGCGAAAGCGGCUCACUGGACCAUAACUGACGCUGAGGCACGAAAGCUAGGGGAGCAAACAGG
rnacentral:rRNA from 1 species